rnacentral:misc_RNA from 1 species
AAGUCGUAACAAGGUUUCCGUAGGUGAACCUGCGGAAGGAUCAUUAACACGUAUCCACGUAUCAACCCCUGUGCACUUGUACGUGUCUGGUUCGUUGGGUGGUAGUGACGGUCUAAGUGAGGAUCGAGCCCAAGUGGCUCUCCAACCGCGCUACUAGUGCUCUACGAGAGCGCAGCUCGAUGGAUUUCAGGCAUUUUUAACCAUACCAUUUACCCCAAUGACUAAUUUAGAAAUAAGAAUGUGUUCGCAUAUUCUUUAUUUCGACAUACGAAACGUAACAACUCUUAGCAACGGAUAUCUUGGUUCUC